UUUUUCUCUUUUUAUGGGGUUUAGCUGAUUUUAUGUUUUUUUUUGAAAUUUUCUCUCACUGUCGGAUUUUGGUUUUGAUUUUUUUUUUAUUUAUUGCAAUAGCUGCUUGAUGCUAAUGGUCUUGAAUUACUCUAUUUCAACUCCUUGCCAAAAUUGUGUGUUCUUUGGCUGUUGGUUUGCUUGGAUUCAAAAUCCCUAAUUUUGCUCAUCUGCCUAUCUCACGAAUUUCAUCUCGUGAACCACCUGAAUAAUCCGACCUCCAUACGCAGACACCAAUGCCCUUCACUGAAUCCAGCAUCGCAGCUUCACCAUAGAGCUCACGCGCGCAACACUCAUCUCCACGCUUUCAACUCUCAUAAUGGAUCUGACCUAGCUCCCUUGAGUCACCGCAAUACUUUCUCUCUACCUACUGCUUCGCGUUGGACUACCAGGGAGCAAGCUUAGUGAUGCCGUCGACCAUUGCAAAGCUUCUGUGAAGCCAAUCGAUUGCUUUAUAGUGGAAUUCCAGCCGAGACACCCAUUUUUUACCCAAAGUCACAAAAUCACAUAGUUGCUCUCUCUCAGUUUUCGCUUGAACAAGAGAAAGGAUGUAUUUGCUGAAUAAGGGAAAGGAUCGAUGUGUUUGCGCUGGACUUCAAUCAAGUUGUUACUUUUGUCAAAAUUGUGAACAGAGCAGCUGAGCUUAAUAAGUUGUGGAGUGCAAUUUUCCAUCAAUUUGCAUCCGUUCUGGCAUAUCCAAGAAGAAAGCCGCGUCUCCAACUAAGUCUGACCUUUUGAAGUGUAGGUGCAAAAAUGAAUUCAAUUAUUCAUACGAUAACUAUUCGACUAUUCGUUGUGGAUAAAAGUUUAUAUUGGACCUUUUUCGAAUUGAGAUUUUUUUAAUUUCUUUUGGAUAUAGCUAUACAUUUAUUAUAUUUUGUUUUAUUUAGAGAUAAUAUUUUGUGAUUUUGUAUGAGACUACUUGUGUUAAUCGAAGAAUUCAAUAUCGUCAGUGAACAACUAUUUUGUAAGUGUUA